AUUGAACGCUGGCGGCAGGCUUAACACAUGCAAGUCGAGCGAGCGGCGGACGGGUGAGUCAUGUCUGGGAAACUCCCUGAUGGAGGGGGAUAACUACUGGAAACGGUAGCUAAUACCGCAUACCAUCAGAUGUGCCCAGAUGGGCUUGGCUAGUAGGUGGGGUAAUGGCUCACCUAGGCCACUAUCCCUAGCUGGUCUGAGAGGAUGACCAGCCACACUGGAACGGAGACACGGUCCAGACUCCUACGGGAGGCAGCAGUGGGGAAUAGUGCACAAGGGGCGAAAGCUGGAUGCAGCCAUGCCGCGUGUGUGAAGAAGGCCUUCGGUUUGUAAAGCACUUUCAGCGAGGAGGCGUUACUCGCAGAAGAAGCAACGGCUAACUCCGUGCCAGCAGCCGCGGUAAUUC
rnacentral:rRNA from 1 species